AGUGAACGCUGGCGGCAUGCCUAACACAUGCAAGUCGAACGAAGGCUUCGGCCUUAGUGGCGCACGGGUGCGUAACGCGUGGGAAUCUGCCCUUGGGUUCGGAAUAACUCAGAGAAAUUUGAGCUAAUACCGGAUGAUGACGUAAGUCCAAAGAUUUAUCGCCCAAGGAUGAGCCCGCGUAAGAUUAGCUAGUUGGUGGGGUAAAGGCCUACCAAGGCGACGAUCUUUAGCUGGUCUGAGAGGAUGAUCAGCCACACUGGGACUGAGACACGGCCCAGACUCCUACGGGAGGCAGCAGUGAGGAAUAUUGGUCAAUGGGGGCAACCCUGAACCAGCCAUGCCGCGUGGAGGAAGAAGGCCCUAAGGGUUGUAAACUUCUUUUGUACGGGGGUAAACUCUUCUACGAGUAGGAGAUUGAAAGUACUGUACGAAUAAGCAACGGCUAACUCCGUG
rnacentral:rRNA from 1 species